GGUUAUGUGUUCAUAACCAACACAUCCAACUCCAAUUAUUUUACCUUUAUUGUUAUCACCAAAAGUUACCUCACCAAAGUCUGUAGCUUGCAGAUUUUUUAAUUUGGUCUUGUCUCCAGUCAUAUGUCUUGAGCAUCCACUAUCAAGAUACCAUUUGCUUUUAUUUAAAUCAACUGCAAGACAUACCUGCAAUAUAUGUACUAGUUUUAUAGGUUGGUACCCUUUAAAUUGAAGGGUCCUUAGGGUGAGUUUUCCAUUUUGUAUAAGGAGUAUUUGAAGUUUCCUUUACAAAACUGGGC
rnacentral:lncRNA from 1 species